AAUCGGAGAGUUAGCUCUUUGAGGCCGGCUGCCCUUAAAUCCUCUCACUUCACACAUAAGGAAACUGAGGCCGUGACGGCCAAGGACUCGCCUAAGGUCGUUCCGUAUUCCACCUGCUCCUCUCUCCCGAAGCGGGGGCACUCUUCCCUGACCCCAGGGACGACUCUGAAGCCAGUUCUGGAGGAGGGCCCCCAAUUAGAAAAAUGCCAGGGAGGAAUAGCAACCCUGACCACUUAACACACUGUGAUUGGGGCAACAAAAAUCUUCACCUGAGACCCAACUCCGCUGUUCUGCUUCCUCGGUGGAAGCCACACGAACCCCACUGGUACAGCGGCAGCGAUAGACCCCAGGCGGCUGAAAGCUUAUUUGGAGCGUCCCGGAGCAUGUCGAUUGUGCUGUGCCAGUGCAGGGGGAGUACCCCUCAGUUCUGGCCCCAGGCUCCAUUCUUUGCUAACCGGUCCAAGAAGUGGGGGGGCAGUCAGUGCCAGUGGGUUUAGAACUCCUCAGCCGCGGCUUCAACAUCACACACAACCAGAAAGCAAACCUUCAUGAGGCUGAGAGGCAGGCCGCCCUGCCAAUACAUUCCAUCACAUGGCACCCUCGGAGCGUUCCUAUUUUAGGGACUGGUUGGAAGACAGCUAGAAACAUAGAAAGCAGGCAAAAUGUUUGCUGGCUUUACUCCUUUCCUUUGAGGGCAUCGUCAUGCAUCCUAGGGGGGAAAAAUCUGCACAGAUCCUGGAAAUCAAGAACUUCGUGAACCAGAGGAAGGGGGCUGUUUGCCAGUACUAGUCUACAGAGGCCUCUGAUCUUUUCACAUUUAAUGCCCCAGCAUCUAGAGCUGAGCAUGCAGAAGUCGCCACACACACAAAUGUCCAGGUAGGUACCACUGAUUUUGCUUAUGAUGAAGCUGGAGCAAAGGCGGAUUAGAACGGAACAGCCCAGUUCUUCUCCAUGGGAUGAGUGCCCCUUUGCUGGGAGGGCCAGAUCUGUGCUGGCUCCAACAUUGCUUCCUUUAAGGUGUCUGCCACUUGCCACCAGUAUGGUUGGGCCUGGCCCAUUCUGCACAACUAGAGAAAAUGGAAAAUUCAAAGGCAAUAUAAUAUAUAGGCGGCAGUGGAACAGGGACUCUCAACAGUAUACAGACAGUCCCUGACUUGUGAUGGUUUGACACAGGACUUUCCAAGUUUGCAAUGGUUGUAAAAGUGAUAAUCUAGCAUGCGCUCAAUUUAGGAUGGGAUUAUGGCUGGUGAAACCCGUCCUAAGUGGAGCUGCAUCUAUACAUGAUUGUGACCUGAGUUAAUGCUUUUGGGCAAGUUCUUAUUUUGUGUGGGGUCAGCACCGUGGUGCACAGUGCUCCAUCCAGCUGUCCCUUCCUGCUCUCCUCAGGUGGCCAUGCACUCAUACAGCCCUGGAGUUUCUGCUGAAGGCUGAGGUUUAAUUUUUUACACUCUUCUUUGUCACUGGCCAACUCUAUACCAGUAAGUAGGCACCUCUCUGAAAGGCAGUGUUCUUAAGACACUGUUCGCUUCAGGGGUGAGGAAGCAGAAGGUAAGAGUAGAGUGAACACAGAUUUGAAUGCCAGCCUCUCCAUUGCCCCCAAUACUCCAUCUGCUCCAGAGCUUAGUGGAGAUGUUUGCUAUUUAAAACAAACAGCCUUACUGGCUUCACAUGAUCAUCUGUUUAUUUGGGUCAUGUGGGGACAGCAGCCAGGGGAUGUUAGACAAAAACAAGGGUUUAGAAGGGAGGCUGCAGGCCAGGAGCGGUGGCUCACGCCUGUAAUCCCAGCACUUUGGGAGGCCGAGGUGCAUGGAUCACUUGAGGUCCGGAGUUCGAGACAAUCCUGGCCAACGUGGUGUGGUGAAACCCUGUCUCUACUAAAAAAAAAAAAAAAAAAAGGAAGAAAAAAGAAAAUUAGCUGGGCGUGGUGGCAGGCGCCUGUAAUCCCAGCUACUGGGGGUGGUUAAGGCAGGAGAGUCACUUGAACCCGGGAGGUGGAGGUUGCAGUGAGCUGAGAUGACACCACUGCACUCCAGCCUGGGCCACAGAGAGAGACUCCGUCUCCAAAAAAAAAAAAAAAAAAAAAAAAAAAGGGUGGGGGAGGCUGUUUCUGGACCUAUUGUUGCCUACAGGAGCCUGAAAAUGGCCAAAAACAAUACCUCAUCAACCAAGCUUUCCCCAGUUGAGGAAUGGACAGUGGGGGUGGGAGAUACCUAUAAAUGGCGAUGUGAGGGCAUGAAAGAAGAGGGGAAUGAAUAGGAGGGCUGUUUAAUAUUUUAGCCCCAGCUUCCUGUUCCAAGGGGGUGGAGCCAGGAUAGAAGCUGGCAAAUGUACUCACUCAAGAGAAAGAGAAAUAAGUCCUUUUGGUUUCAGCAGAAAGGUUAGCAGGUUUGGGGAAUUAUCCAAAGGCCAGCAAUCUCUAAAAAGGUGUUCCUUAAGUUUCUUUUUCUUUUUUUCUUUUUUGAGAUAGAGUCUCCCUCUGUUGCCCAGGCUGGAGUGCAGUGGUGUGAUCUUGGCUCACUGCAACUUCUGCCUCCCAGGUUCAAGUGAUUCUCCUGCCUCAGCCUCCGGAGUAGCUGGGAUUACAAGCACGCACCACCACGCCCGGCUAAUUUUUGUAUUUUUAGUAGAGACGGGGUUUCACCAUGUUGGCCAGGCUGGUCUCAAACUCCUGACCUCAAGUGAUCUGCCUGUCUUGGCCUCCCAAAGGGCUGGGAUGACAGGCGUGAGCCACCGCGCCCGGCUGUUCCUUAAGUUUCUUCAUGGCUUCUGGGUGCUUAGUACCUUGGAGCAGGAGAAAAGCUGGGCUGUCCAUCAUUGUGAGUUUCUCACGAGAGGGUUUCCGUUUUCAGUCUUCCUCCCCGAGUCUUGUGCACCCCACCUCCCAGUUCAAAUUCCAUUAUGUCCUCCAAUUUUUUAAUCUUUUAUUCUUUUUUUCACCAACCACAAUAAGAAGCACCAAUUCCCCAAUUUUUUAAUAUGCUGAGCCAGAGACAUCCCCUUAGUGGAACUGUCUUCCUAUCCCCCACCACUCACCUAACAAAGUAUCAACUCCAAGAGCUAUGAAAAUCAGUGCCCUGACUCCUACAAAGCCUGAGUCAUGAGAUGGGGGAAAGGGCGUGAAGCCGAAAGUACAGAUGUUCACAGGAAAUCCCAACCCUUCAAGCCUGAUGUCUCAUCUUUUGCAAGCAGCUAAGGAGCUUUUCACAUACCAUCAUUAAAACAAGACCCAUGGGAGGAAGCUGGCUGCAGGAUGAAGAGGAAAAAACAGAAGACUAGUACACUCAAGACAUACCAGAGAAGAUCCAUUUCAUAAAUAUUUAUUGUGUGCCUGAGGUGCCAAGCACUAGGCUAGGUAUGCUGUGGCCAAGGCCAGGGGACCUCUGGUAAGCCAGAGCGGGGCAAAAGCAAACAGAGCGGAACUCCACUCCACUGUGAUAACUUGCAAAAGAUUAGUUCUGCUGUUCGCCACCGUGCUGGAUGCAGCACCAGAGACAGGACGACACGAGGACCCAGAGGGCGCCGCCAUGCUCAUUUCAGAAGGUGCAGCCUCCGUGUCCGUGGGUCCGCACCCAUGGAGGCAACUAACCGUGGAUCAAAAAUAUUCAGGAAAAAAAAAUGGAAAAUAUACAAGAAAAAAUAAUACAAAUUUAAAAACCAACACAGCACAAGAACUAUUUACACAGCAUUUACAUGGUAUGAGGUAUUUGAGUAGCGCAGAGAUGAGUUAAAGGAUACCUGAGGAUGUGCAUAGGUUACAUGUAAGGGAUUUGAGCAUCAUCCAUGGACAGGUAUUCAGGGAGGCUCCAGGAACCAAUCCCCAUUGGACAGUGAGAAGCAACUGUAAUUCCGUUUUUCUAUGUAGAGAUAAAAACAAAUUCAGUGGAUUUAAGGCUGGGCCAGUCAACUGAGCCUGAUUCCCCCAGUCUGAAUGAUGAGUGGGACUCUGAAUUCCUUUGACAGAGGUGGACCCAUUCAAUCAUCAGUGAAAUGGGGUCCCCACAGCCAAAAGUUUCCACAGGACUCUUUACCUCCUUUCCCCACCCCAAGUGAGUUGUCAGAGGACCUCUCCUGAACUCACAGAACAGGUCCAAUCAAGUUCCACCUCCCCAUUCAUGUCCUUUCCAGAAGCUGGGCGCGGUGGCUCACGCCCUAAGUUCCAGCUACGUGGGAGGCUGAGACAGGAGAAUCGCCUGAGCCCAGGAUUUCAAGGCCAGCCUGGGCAACAUAGCAAGAUACUGUCUCAAAAAAAAAAAAAAAAAAAUUGCAGCCUCACAUGAUGUCAUAGCUGGAAGAGCUGGGAUCAUGGGGUCUGACCUCCCAAGAGAAGGUGUAUCCAAGGUCACAAAGCUGCCAAGCAUCAGCUAGGUUGAGAAGUGGCCUGGUCCUCCUCUUUGGCUGGCUGGGCCAGGCCUGGGGAAGUGCUAUCAGUGUGGGGUGUUGAGUCCCUGAAAGCCUCCCAGAAGUGGGUGAAGAUGGAGAGGGAACUCCACCCCUCCUCGUUAAAGACAGGAAUAAUCAUUCACUUUGCUUAGUGGUCCCCAAUAAACAAGCUUAGCAGAUAAGCGGGAAGACAGGGAAAGGGAAUCAGACUUGGGAUCCAGGAGCUCGCAGGACCCUGUUCUGCCCCAGGCCACUCAGGAAUGGAGAGCUGCUAGCUGGACCUGGGUAGGUCACCAUUACUCACUGGGGCUUUUGUCUGGCAUGAAAGGUGACGGGAGAAAGGGGCAGAUUUUUAUCCAGGCAGCCACCGUGGGUGUGGACACUGAGUAAUAAGGAAAGAAAUGCAGUUCAGAAGCAAAGAGGGAGGAGCCAGGUCCUCUGAGCUCUUCUGAGAAACCAGAGCCCAGUCGAGCUCUGCAGCUAGAGUGGCAGCUGCGGAUGACAGUGGGUCAGAAGCUUGGUGGGAGGAGGCUGACCCAGCGGAAAGGCACAGGAGACGGAUGACGAUGUCAGGGAUUCCUUUAAAGGAAAAAAGAGGUGGCUUUAUGACAGCAAAACUAAUUCAGGUCAAGGGAGUGGGACUGGGCAGAAGUUAUGAGUAAAGCCGGGUGGAGUCUUGCCAUGGGAGUCAAGAGUCCGCUGGAUCACGCAGGGGUGGGGACAUGGUGAUAGGGAAGAAACCUCCCAGGACCGACGGGCUGCAAUGUGAUCAGUGCCCCACACAAAGGACUAAGGUCUAUAUCCCAGCAGCCCCAGUUCACACCCAAAUGCAAGGCUGUAGCAUCAAGUCUUGAAAGCCCAAGAGAUCAGCAGCCUAUGCCAGGAAUGAGGCUCUCUCUGGAGGCAAGGCCGAGAGCAGUGGCCGGUCACUGGCUGCACAGCCCAGAGCAGAUACCACAGAGCCAGGGCUCAGCUCCAGGUGCACUAUGAGAUCUCUCCCCAAGGCCCCAGGGCCCACUGGGAAAGGACACACCACUGCUGCCCAGCCUGCUCCACUCCCUGUGCCAUCAGGGACACCUCAGUGGGGAGUGCUAGAGCUUCCCAGCGCCCUCUCUGAUGAGUUAGUCUGAAAUAAUGCUGAACCACUGGUAAAAGACAGGUCCUUAAACUUCACACCAUACAGCAAUGUAAAUUCAAAUGCUAAAUGUAAAAAAUAAAACUAAAAUAGCCAUAAUAAAAUAUAGGAAAACAUUUUUCAGCUCUAGGGUGGUGAAGGAGUUUCUACCCAUAAAGGCAAACAAAGAAAAUAUAAAAGCACAGUGUGAUAGAUUUGAUUACCUCUAAAAGCUAUAAAAAUAAAACAAAAUCAUCACUAAAGAAAAGAAAAAGGGGCCGGGCACAG
rnacentral:lncRNA from 1 species